rnacentral:rRNA from 1 species
AUUGAACGCUGGCGGCAGGCCUAACACAUGCAAGUCGAGCGGAUGAAGGGAGCUUGCUCCUGGAUUCAGCGGCGGACGGGUGAGUAAUGCCUAGGAAUCUGCCUGGUAGUGGGGGAUAACGUCCGGAAACGGGCGCUAAUACCGCAUACGUCCUGAGGGAGAAAGUGGGGGAUCUUCGGACCUCACGCUAUCAGAUGAGCCUAGGUCGGAUUAGCUAGUUGGUGGGGUAAAGGCCUACCAAGGCGACGAUCCGUAACUGGUCUGAGAGGAUGAUCAGUCACACUGGAACUGAGACACGGUCCAGACUCCUACGGGAGGCAGCAGUGGGGAAUAGUGGACAAUGGGCGAAAGCCUGAUCCAGCCAUGCCGCGUGUGUGAAGAAGGUCUUCGGAUUGUAAAGCACGUUAAGUUGGGAGGAAGGGCAGUAAGUUAAUACCUUGCUGUUUUGAGGUUACCAACAGAAUAAGCACCGGCUAACUUCGUG